AUGGUCCUCGCCGCUCUGGCCGGCCUGUUCGCGAGCAAUGCAAAGCUGCGACAAGGUCGCUCGGUGACGGGCCGGCAGAAGAGCAAGCAGAGGCAUCGUUUGGAGGGCUAUUGCUUGCUCUACGCCGACUACUUCGCCGACGCUCCACUGCAUGACGAGAGAGUAUUUCGGCGCCGUUAUUGGAUGAGCCGAAAGCUCUUCCUCAGGAUUGUGAAUUCCAUCCGGGAGUUAAACAGCUACUUCAAGUGCAAGAAGGAUUGCACCAGCACACUUGGAUUCACCUCACUCCAGAAGUGCAUGACAGCUAUGAGGAUGCUUGCAUACGGAGCUCAUGGAUGCAUGGCCGAGUCCACCACCAUCGAGUGUUUGUACAAGUUCUGUAGGGCAAUGCUGGCAGUGUUUGGACCACAAUACUUGCAAUCAUCCAAUGCUGAAGACACUGCUCGGAUCCUAGCACAGAAUGCAGCAAAAGGAUUUCCUAGGAUGCUUGGAAGCAUCGACUGCAAGCAUUGGGCAUGGAAAAACUGUCCAUUUGCUUGGCAGGGGAUGUACAAAGGCGCCAAAGGAGCUUGCAGUGUGGCACUUGAGGCAGUGGCCAUACAGGACCUCUGGAUUUGGCACUCCUUUGGUAUGCCAGGAACUCACAAUAGCAUCAACGUAUUGCAGUGCUCGAAUGUCUUUGCCAAGCUUGUUGAAGGUCAUGCUCCUCCGGUGAACUUCGAGGUCAAUGGACGCCACUACAACAAGGGAUACUACCUAGCAGAAGAUGACAUCUAUCCGAGAUGGUCCACAUUUGUGAAGACUAUCUCAAACCCUGUGCCAGGAGGCAAGAACUCUUACUUUGCCAAGUGUCAGGAGUCUUGCAGGAAGGAUGUCUGA
rnacentral:rRNA from 1 species